rnacentral:rRNA from 1 species
UACGUAGGGGGCAAGCGUUGUCCGGAUUUAUUGGGCGUAAAGAGCGUGUAGGCGGCCAGGUAGGUCCGUUGUGAAAACUCGAGGCUCAACCUCGAGACGCCGAUGGAAACCAUCUGGCUAGAGUCCGGAAGAGGAGAGUGGAAUUCCUGGUGUAGCGGUGAAAUGCGCAGAUAUCAGGAAGAACACCGGUGGCGAAGGCGGCGACCUGGUUCGAUACUGACACUGAGGUGCGGAAGCGUGGGGAGCAAACAGG